rnacentral:rRNA from 1 species
GAUGAACGCUGGCGGCGUGCCUAACACAUGCAAGUCGAGCGAUUCUCUUCGGAGAAGAGCGGCGGACGGGUGAGUAACGCGCGGGUAACCUGCCCUGUACACACGAAUAACAUACCGAAAGGUAUGCUAAUACGAGAUAAUAUACUUUUAUCGCAUGGUAGAAGUAUCAAAGCUCCGGCGGUACAGGAUGGACCCGCGUCUGAUUAGCUAGUUGGUAAGGUAACGGCUUACCAAGGCGACGAUCAGUAGCCGACCUGAGAGGGUGAUCGGCCACAUUGGAACUGAGACACGGUCCGAACUCCUACGGGAGGCAGCAGUGGGGAAUAUUGCACAAUGGGCGAAAGCCUGAUGCAGCAACGCCGCGUGAGCGAUGAAGGCCUUCGGGUCGUAAAGCUCUGUCCUCAAGGAAGAUAAUGACGGUACUUGAGGAGGAAGCCCCGGCUAACUACGUGCCAGCAGCCGCAGUAAAAC